GUUGUGCUGGUCAUCUAACACCUUUCAGGGAAAAAAAAUUUGAAUUGAAAUAAUAUGACUUCUGGUUUCCAUUGGAAAUUCUUAUACAGUUAAUUGAGGCCUCCUGCUCCUAAGGUUUCUAUAUCUGGUCUCAUCUUUCGUCUGUCUAACUCCAUUCUUGAGAUUAAGGGAAUACGGACAGAUGGAAGACAGUGGGAAUUAAUUUGGAUAAUGAUAUGAAGAAAAAAUUUUUGAAAAAACAACUGGAAAUAAAGUUGUUUUUUUCAAAAACUUUUUGAUUAACUAUCUUCAAGUUUUUUCUCUUGCAUGUUUCCAACCUGGUCACUAGCAUUACCCAAAGAACUGGAUAGUCAGUUAAGGCAUUAGCCUAAUGGUCUGGAGACCUGAUAGACUGAUCUCUCCUGGAUUUGAUCCAGGUGAGCAACCUUGAGAAGUUUUGAAUUUGCCUGUCAUAGGAAAUGCGCCCUAUUCCUCAUCACCCAAUUAUACCCAAUUGUUGGUUUGGCUGAAUUCAUAAUGAUCAUAAUUAAAAACAGGCCUUUUGCUGCCCACAGGACAGAGUCAAUGGAACAAUUUAUUUGAGGGGUUGAGAAAUUAUUAAUGGUCAAAUUUUAUUAAAAUAAUGCAUACAACUUUGAAUUUUGAUUUAUGUUCAAUAAAAUUAUAUUAAUUCCUAUUUGAUUAUUUAUUUCAUCCUGUAGGUAAUUUAUUCUUAUUCUGUAUUAGUUUAGAAAUAGAUUGGCAAAUUAAAUCUAAUUUUGGAAAGAGUUGACAAAGAAAAAGGCUUUCAUUUAUCAUUACCCAUUAUUGCCCAAUUUACUUUUACUUUACCCUCAGGUUUACUUUUAGACCUUUGGGGGUAGUACUACAGCCUUGCAGCCAGGGCUGUGGAGUCGCGUAAAAAUCUACCGACUCCGACUCCGGCUCUUCCUUACCAAUCCGACUCCGACUCCACAGCCCUGCCAGGGUUGUAGAGUCGCGUAAAAAUCUACCAACUCUGACUCCAACUUUUCCUUACCAUCCGACUCCAACUCCGGCUAAAACACCAAAACUCCACGACUCCGACUCCGACUCCAUAGCCCUGCUUGCAGCAUAAAAACUGCAUGCCAGCAUCAAACAUAGAGGGUACUAUGAUCAUAUGUACACUGUUUAGAAUCUCUUUUCCAAGGUAUCAUCCAAGUACUCUAUUCCAGACCAUCAUCAUCUGAUUUUCUCCAACUUCUACAAGUGUGAUACAUCAGUCCAAAUCAUUGUGUGUCCAAUUAUAUCAAGAAUUCCAAUUGGUAGAAAUGGAAAUUGAAGCAGAAAUAUGAAUUAAUUAAAAAUGUUUUUUGCAAUCAGUUUCAUAUAAUACUAAGUUUCUUCUGUAAAAUUCUUUCAUUCUUUUUAAAAAAUGAUAUUCCUUCACAAUCUGUUCAAUGGUACGGUAGAGCCUCGAUUAUCCGACUCAAUUGGGGACUGGGGUUGGUCGGAUAACCGAAAAGUAUGAAAAAAUCCAUUA